rnacentral:rRNA from 1 species
AGUGAACGCUGGCCGUAGGCCUAACACAUGCAAGUCGAACGGCAGCACAGUAAGAGCUUGCUCUUACGGGUGGCGAGUGGCGGACGGGUGAGGAAUACAUCGGAAUCUACUUUUUCGUGGGGGAUAACGUAGGGAAACUUACGCUAAUACCGCAUACGACCUACGGGUGAAAGCAGGGGAUCUUCGGACCUUGCGCGAUUGAAUGAGCCGAUGUCGGAUUAGCUAGUUGGCGGGGUAAAGGCCCACCAAGGCGACGAUCCGUAGCUGGUCUGAGAGGAUGAUCAGCCACACUGGAACUGAGACACGGUCCAGACUCCUACGGGAGGCAGCAGUGGGGAAUAUUGGACAAUGGGCGCAAGCCUGAUCCAGCCAUACCGCGUGGGUGAAGGAGGCCUUCGGGUUGUAAAGCCCUUUUGUUGGGAAAGAAAAGCAGCAGGUUAAUACCCCGCUGUUCUGACGGUACCCAAAGAAUAAGCACCGGCUAACUUCGUG